GACUGAAUGACAGCCCUAGAGACUUGUCAAUUUGUAGAAAAGAUGGUAUCCAUUGUACCUUACCAAUUCGAGCCGGAGUCUGAAGAUGAAACGGUUGAAGUGGCUGAUCGACAAGAGACUGAUUCGCAAGCAUGACUGGAGCAGGACGUUUCUCAGUGGACACACACAUGCUCCUGCAGCUCUUAGAGAUGCCGCUGUUGUACUGAUGUGUAUGGAGGCCAAAUCCAAUGUCUGGGCUCUGCAGGGUAUCAGAGGCUUCCUCCAGUCUUUGUGGAAUCAUCCCCUUGCAAGAGCAGGCAUUUUCCAUUGGGUUAAACUAGAAUCCUGCUCGCUCUCACUUCAAAGUGUUUUCUUGAAAGUCCUGGACACAUGUUGUGGUUCCAGUGCUGAGAAGGAAACAGAUUCACUGUAAGAAAGGAUUGCACCUUUUGGGUUUGUAAUGGCAUGAAGGCCUCCCGGUGGAUAUGCACAGAAAGCCGUCUAGACCCUCCCCUGACAGCAGGCCUCCUGCUGUCAGCAGAUUGCCUAACCUGCAAAAAGGAACGUUUUACUGACAGAAACCAUGGGGUGCUUUACUAAAUGAUGGCAGUGUUCUCUUCUAUGCAGCUAUCUGUUUCUUCACGGUUGACUGUGAGUCAUGCUAACCUCAGGGACGGACUGGCUUGGUAUGAAUCGACCUGACAGAAGGAGGCCUUCAGAACCAUGUGGGCUGUCUAUCCAUUAGCAUCACUGCACCUGUGCCAGUUGUUAGUGUGAAGCAUGUAAUAGUGGUCUAUGUAUUCGGAGGUAGACAUGGUUUCAAACAUUAGGAGACUUUAAUGUCAACAUGAAAUCAAAUGUAUCACUUGUUGCUUUCAUAAUACAUGUUCCUGGUGCACUCCAUGAUUCAUUGGUGCAUGUUUAUGCUUUUUAGACACUUAUGGUUUUCCUAGAUAAUGGUAUAUUUAUGGCAUCUACCAGCAGGGGAUAACCGAUUUGGAUGUCUUGAAGUCCUCUUUUUCACAUUUUUCACAAUCCAGUCUGUUCUCAAAGUAUAACAUAAAAUCUUGCACACAUUCUUAAAAAUAACAGUUUCUGAAUUGGCAUUAAUAGUUUGAUAAAGAAUCUUUAACAUCCAUGGAACCUCUCCAUUCCACAAAAGUUUUUUUUUUUUUUUAUAGUGGAAAAAAGGUUCUUAAGAUUUUUUAAAUGUUGUUCACUAAAAAAGAAAAGAAGAAAAAAAAAAGGCAUUCAUUUCAGAAGGGUCCUUAAAAGGUUCUUAUGGGAAACCAAAAUGGGUUUAUUGGUGUCUCUGCAAAAAAGAAAAAAAACAAACAAACAAAAAAACAACAACAACAUUUGGAACAUUUAUUUUUAGGAAUACAUUUUAUUCAUUUCAUUUUUCAUUGAAUAUCCCGUUUCAAUCAGUACAUCAUGUUAUGUUAUGUAAUCAUCCAAGUCAAUUUAUUUGAUUUGGGGAAUAUUUUGUUGACCCCGACCAAGAAGCUGUUCACAAAAAUUUCUCAUUCUACUGCUCUAAAAUGCUCAGAAAUGUCUUUUUCUAUUUAAAAAUAAAGGGCAUUGAUGGUUCCAUGAAGAACCUAAAACAUUCAUGUAACCAUUCCAUUAAACAAAGGUUCUUUGGGAAAACCAAAAAUGUUUCUUCUGUGGUAUUGCUGCAAAACCCCUCUUUUGGAACUUUAUUUUUUUAAGAGUGCACUUUUUCUCAUUGUAGAUCCAGUGUCAAUCAGUAAUACAUCAGGUUUUACGAAGAAUAUGGGUUGUGAAAGCUGGUUCAUGUUGACAGAGUUAGCAUAAAUAGCCCAAAACGUUACAAUUUGAAGUAAUCCAAAUCGACUAUUUGUUUUAUAAAGGAAUAAUUUGUUGGCAAAGAAAAUUACAGAGAAGCUGUUUACAGUAUGAAAUUUCUCAUCCCAUUCCACGUGAAUACACUAAAUGUGACAUAACCCUCGGCCACGUCACCCCUGAGAUCAUUUUGUUACAUUCUUCUCCACUAGAGCCUGGCAGAUGAUCCUACAAUCCUCGGUGCUAAACUGAGACCUGCAGGCAUUAAGCAGUUCUUCAUAAGCCCACUCUGCUCUUUCUCAGGGGGCCUGUCCUUUACUCCUCAUGGUCCACUGCCUCCUCUCAUUAAGGCCUGCAAAGUGCUCAGCAUCUGUCUUGUUUUGCCCUUGUAAAGGCUUCCGCCUGCUGCUUGCCAGACCAAAAGCAUACUUGCACGUCAGAUGGAGUGCAUGCAUGUUAGUUUGAGUGGCUAUGGGUUAUUCAUAAAUAGCUUGUCAUUUUCACUGACCUCUAAAGCGUGCUUAAUUCUUAGACUCUGAAGUAUUUCAUGCUUACUGGAUGUUUGAGUAGCCGGACAUGCACAAAGCUUGUAAGUCGAACCAGGCAUAGUAUUGCAAAACCAUGUAAGCACAGCGCAUGUCUACAAACUUGAUGUUCAUGCGGUGUAAACUCAAGAUCCGUAAGACAUCCGGAAACAUCAAUAAUUCCGCAGCGACGAUGCAUUUAAUUUAACAAACGAAGCAUAUGAAAUAUUUUCCACCUAAAACAAUCUUACUCAUUUUAAUCAAUGCUACUCUCAUUUAGACUUGGAAAACAGCCAUGCUGUCAUACAAAUGUGUCAUACUUGGCUAAUGAGACAGACUGAAUACUUAACAUUCUGAAAAUCAAUUACAAGCUGGAACAGUUGCAUUCGGUAGGAGCUGUUUAUAUGCUGGUAAAAUGCAAGAAAAACUUUCACUGCCUUUCCCUGUUAGUUUCCAUCAGUGCAGAGAAUCUGUGGAUGUUGUUUAUUUGGGUUAAAAAUAGAGAUGGUCUCCUGUUUUUUUUUCGUGAUACUAAUACCACAGUCUUGUUCAAAACAUAUUAAGGCAGAUUGAAUACAACAUCUUGAGUCCCUCUCUCAAUUGAAGAGGCUCUUUUUACACAUUAAUAAUACAUGGGAUUUAGGCUCUGCUAAUGAAAACUUACCCGUGGCUCAUGGCAUGAAUUUUUCAAUUGAACACUGUCCAAAGAAAUAUUACAUUUGCAGAAAUGAGAUUUAACAUAUUCAGGUUGUGAAAGAAAGUAAUUUUUAAAAAAGUGAAAUUCAGAGAAACAAAGUCUGCAUCUGCAUAUUCUGAUGGUUGAUGCUUUCAAUCAGUUGUACAAUUACAUUAGGCUUUCAUGCUAAAAGCACUCCUUUGUUUUGUUUACUUAUUUGCUGAUUACUGAAUACUGAAUGGAAUCACUAAUGGGAGCAGAUAUUACUUAAAGGCAUAGUUCAUUCAAAAAUGAAAUGCUGUCAUUCUGAAAACAAGAAAAUAUUGUUUCUUACAUUCAUUUUGUGUGUGUGUGUGUGUGUUUAAAAUGCAUCUCUUGAACAGUAUAUAUUUAUGUCAAUAUAUCAUAUAAUACUUUUGAGUUAACGGAUCUGUUCAUAAUAUAGCUGUGUCAUAAUUUGUCACCCCCUAUUCAA